GGAGAAUUCUUUAUGUUGAAUCGACAUCUGUUUUCCCUACAAGUUGCUCUCUACAAGUUGGAGACAUACAGAACCUAAUGUCUAACGCUGCUUCCACAAAUAUUUGAGGACCACUAACACAUUUCCUUCUUCCACUUGCUCCACAAGGCUCCUUUUCUUCCAGUAAAGCAUGCCUGGUUAUUUUAAACAGGGAGGCAGUGUGGGGUAGUGGAAAGAACGCCAACUUUGAAACUAGACACAC
rfam:Erinaceus europaeus cont1.534929, whole genome shotgun sequence.